AGCGAACGCUGGCGGCAGGCUUAACACAUGCAAGUCGAGCGGGCGUAGCAAUACGUCCGCGGCAGACGGGUGCGUAACGCGUGGGAACGUACCUUUUGGUUCGGAACAACACAGGGAAACUUGUGCUAAUACCGGAUAAGCCCUUACGGGGAAAGAUUUAUCGCCGAAAGAUCGGCCCGCGUCUGAUUAGCUAGUUGGUGAGGUAACGGCUCACCAAGGCGACGAUCAGUAGCUGGUCUGAGAGGAUGAUCAGCCACAUUGGGACUGAGACACGGCCCAAACUCCUACGGGAGGCAGCAGUGGGGAAUAUUGGACAAUGGGGGCAACCCUGAUCCAGCCAUGCCGCGUGAGUGAUGAAGGCCCUAGGGUUGUAAAGCUCUUUUGUGCGGGAAGAUAAUGACGGUACCGCAAGAAUAAGCCCCGGCUAACUUCGUG
rnacentral:rRNA from 1 species